UCCCUGGUGGUCCAGUGGUUAGGACUUGGUGCUUUCACUGCCAGGGGCCCAGGUUCAAUCCCUGGUCAGGGAA